rnacentral:rRNA from 1 species
GCUGCAGCUAACGCAUUAAGCACUCCGCCUGGGGAGUACGACCGCAAGGUUGAAACUCAAAGGAAUUGACGGGGGCCCGCACAAGCGGUGGAGCAUGUGGUUUAAUUCGAAGCAACGCGAAGAACCUUACCAGGUCUUGACAUCCUUUGACCACUCUGGAGACAGAGCUUUCCCUUCGGGGACAAAGUGACAGGUGGUGCAUGGUUGUCGUCAGCUCGUGUCGUGAGAUGUUGGGUUAAGUCCCGCAACGAGCGCAACCCUUGAUUUUAGUUGCCAGCAUUUAGUUGGGCACUCUAAAGUGACUGCCGGUGCAAGCCGGAGGAAGGUGGGGAUGACGUCAAAUCAUCAUGCCCCUUAUGACCUGGGCUACACACGUGCUACAAUGGAUAGUACAAAGGGUCGCGAAGCCGCGAGGUGGAGCUAAUCCCAUAAAACUAUUCUCAGUUCGGAUUGUAGGCUGCAACUCGCCUACAUGAAGCCGGAAUCGCUAGUAAUCGUGGAUCAGCAUGCCACGGUGAAUACGUUCCCGGGCCUUGUACACACCGCCCGUCACACCACGAGAGUUUGUAACACCCGAAGUCGGUAGGGUAACCUUUAUGGAGCCAGCCGCCGAAGGUGGGACAGAUAAUUGGGGUGAAGUCGUAACAAGGUAGCCGUAUCGGAAGGUGCGGCUGGAUCACCUCCUUU